CGAAACAGUUCAAAACUACAGAGAUGUUUGCCUCCCGUGGUGUUUAGUGCUCCUGAGGGACCAGAGUUCCACAAGUCUCCCCAGCUGGACCGCCACUUCGCCUGGCUCUGCGAGGAGGGCGGAACUGUGUUUCCAGAACUUGUGUGACUCCAGGCAGAAGGGUUCCUCUACUUUGGUGUUCCAGCUCUCUGCUAAGGCAGUGAAAGCAGCGACAGCAUCCUCGCAUGGUCCUGCCUUUAUUCAAGGGUCCUUCAGGCUUCCAGAUUAACUAAAUACCAAGACUGGGGAUGGCGGUACCAUUUCACAUUCCCAC